rnacentral:tRNA from 1 species
CAAAAAAUAGUUUAAUAAAAAUACUAACUUUGGGAGUUAGAGAUUAAGUAACUCUUAUUUUUUGG